GCUGUGGUAGCUCAGUGGCAGAGCACACCCUUGGUAAGGGUGAGGUCGAGAGUUCAAUCCUCUCUCACAGCA
rfam:Loktanella sp. 3ANDIMAR09 PM07_014, whole genome shotgun sequence.